ACCAUGGUGGUAUCGCUGGAGGACUUUGAGGGCCGACUGAACCAGGCGCUGGAGAGGAACGCCUUCCUCGAGUCUGAGCUGGAUGAGAAGGAGACGUUGAGAGAGAUGGUGCAGCGGCUUAAAGACGAGUCCAGAGAUCUCCGCCAAGAGCUGGUGAUCCGCGAGCGUCACGAAGCUGACGACCAGGAGCCCGACAACGAGCGGUCAGCAGUGGACAGCAACAAGCGGCUGGAGGACGGACCGGACGGCGGGGUGCGGCCGGUGGCGCCGCCUGUGGCGCCCACAGCCACACCGGCCGCCCUCACUGCCAACACCACUGCUAAAGUGCCACCGGCAGUGGGCGAGCAGCCGGCCACCAACGGUCACGUGGUCGCUCCCUUGGACGGCGGUCCCAUGACGCCUUCGUCACGGAUUUCGGCGCUCAACAUUGUCGGCGACCUCCUGCGUAAAGUCGGGUUGGACCGCUACAUGUGUAAGGCGUGCGGCAAAUUCCGCUGUGUGUGUAUACCGGCCCAGUAGUGGGUCCCGCGCGGCCCGCUCUUCUCAGGUCUCAGGCUGUGAUCAGGCGCUCGAGUCCAAGCUGGCCUCGUGCAAGUCGUACGUCAAGGACAACCCGCGGCCGCACGCGGGGCACGGACAGCAGGUCGGCCGUGACCUUCACAGGGUUAAACCCAGGAAGGUGGUCAC
rnacentral:misc_RNA from 1 species